GUGGGCCUCUCUACAGAUCGUAUAAAUCUUUCGCCUUUUACUAAAGAUUUCCGUGGAGAGGAACAACUAUGUUCUUUUUUUUUUUUUUUUUUUUUUGGUUUUUCGAGACAGGG